CCUGAUUGUGUACGUUUUGAUAGUUUGUUUUUUCGAUUGAAACACAAAACAAAAUAACGAGAAACCACCUGUUUUUCGUUUGUAGUUUCAAACCAAAAUCAAAGAAACAGUAAAAAAAGAGCCGUUCUCUCGUUUUUGGUUCUAAAUCCAAAAACGAAAAAUGACAAAACCAAAAUCAAAUAACGGUCCGAUUUUGGUUUUUUGAAAUUCCUUUUUCCAUUUUUUCGUUUGAAGAUCUACAUUGAAAUACAGACAGGUUGGCCACGUGACCCGGAAGGAAUAGUAAAUAUGGCCUAUCAAAAUAAAAGCCAAGCUUUUAGAACGGUCAUAAUAUGCAGCGCUAACGUUAUACGAGAGUAACCUUAGAAGAAGAAAAAUCUAUUAAUAAAUAGCCUUAUAUAAACCUGGACCGGAAUAAAUAUGUUAGCAACAGUAGUUUAUUACAGCUAUUUAAUAUCGUGCCUAUCCAGACAUCACCAGUCACGUUUAAUGAGCGCAUUGUUUGGCUCAAUACAGUUGGUAAUAUAGGUUAACCUAAGAACUUAUUGUGUGUGCAGAGUUGUUACUGUUAGCGCUAUAUUAUAUAAUAAAAUUUAUAUUUAAUGUGGUUUCCACCGUAAUGGAUAACUGUUCCCCCUUUCUACCAGCAGGUGGCAGUAUUUAAAUGACUGACUGUAUGGUGUCUUUGGUAACUGUUUUAAAUCAAGAUUACUGAUACAGAUGUAUUUAUUGUUGUUCAUUGUAUUUUGUUUUUAUUUGCCUAGUUAUCAUCAUCAUCAUCAUCAUUCACCCAGCCCAGAGUUAAACCUGCUUCUGUUUUAACCUGAUUAUAACACUGCACUGCUAUCAGCUUCUUAUAGCAGCUCAGACAAAAAAACUCACAUCAGACAUGUCCUAAUCCUAAUGUAGGCCAUCUAGCCAAAAUAAUGAUUUACCAGUGUGCUAUAUACUGUGUGAAUCUUUCUUCUCUAUACACAUUCCAGUUUGUAUAACAUACAAAACUCUGAUUGUGUCAUGCCAGUGAAGAGAAUCCAUAAAAGUCUUAAAAUUUUCUAUAGCACAUACAUGCUUUCAAGGGCAUUGCAUGUACAAUCAAUGGCUGCAGAACAUUUGUUAAGCCCUAAGGAAAGAACAUUUUACAAGGUCCUCAAAAGAAAACCCCAAAACAUAAUUACAUUACUAAAAACAGGCUGUCAACGCUGAUUACAUCAGCAAUAACUGCAACAAAACGUUUCCAGUAACUUUUGAUACGUCCUGCUUAUUGACUUGGACGUAUCUUUGCCCGUUCCUCUGUACAGAACAGCUUCAACUCUUGGAUGUUGGUGGGUUUCCUCACAUGAGCUGCUUGCUUCCUCAUCCUUCCACAACAUUUCAAUCAUUUUAAGGUCAUAACUUUUGACUCUGCCUUUCCAAAACAUUCACUUUAUUCUUCUUUAAGGUAGGUGGGUAUAUUUUGUCACAAUAUAAUAUAUAUAAUAGUAUAAAGUAUAAAUUGAGUUUGUAUCUCCCUUCUGGUACAUAGCAGACAUUAUCAGGCUAAUAUAGAAGCAAUUAUAAAAAUGGUAAACAUAAAUAAACUAUGAUCAGUGGAGCAGUGCUGAGGAUGAACUAUAGUUUAAGAGUCUGAUAGCUUGGGGGGAAAUGUUGCUCUGCAGUUGGUGCGGCAGCAGAAACUUCUAUAUCUCUUCCCAGAAGGCAGCAGGAUGAACAGGCUGUGGCUGGAUGUGAUGGAAAACCCAGUUGUGGCACCGUGCUGCCGCAGCCUCGUUGGAUGCCGGGUCUGCGUUGAGCAGUGGGCAACUACCUCGCCGCACUGCCCAAAAUGCAGGGACGAGAUGUUCCAAGAAAAAAAAAAUUCAAAUUACAGGGAUGGGGGAGAUUGUGAAUGUUUUGAAAGACACUAUUAGUUAGGAGAUUGUUUUAGUUAGUUUUUAUUUUAGGUUUAGGUUUUAAGUUAAGUCAAAUGGUUAAGUUUGGUUAUGUUCAUCUGUUAUGUUAUUUUAUGCAAUUAAUAAAUUGUUCAAUUUUAUUUUCUAUUACUCUCACUUGCAGAACUCCUUUUGUUGUAUUCAUUUUAUGUUAUUUUAUGCAAAUAAUAAAUUAAUAUAAAUAUUUUAAUAAAAUAAAUUAUGUUCACUUUCAUGACAUACUGCUUGUUGUCUAUUAUAACACAGUAGAACCACACACCCAACUGGACUGAAGGCCUAUAUGUGAGACAUGUUUUUAAAUUUGUGAGUGUUACAGUCAACUAAAACUUCACGCAGUAUAAUAGCACAUGUAAAUCAGACAAUCAAACAUGAGGAGAAAGAGCUCAUUUUAUUGAGUAGGCUAAUGCCUUAAGCAGCUGUGCUAGGAAACGUGAUUUGUGAAAGCACAGUUGUAAUGAAAAUAAUGGAAAGUGUUUUAAUUACAGAACAUAAAGCAAUAUCUCCAUAACAGUAGCUCGCACAAAGCAGACACAGUGCGACACCUACUGGUGUCUGUAAUCGUUUUGAACUGCCCUUGAUUUUAAACUUCGUUGGAUUAUUAACGUUACAUGGAGGACUGAGAACCUUCACAUAUUAUAAAUUGUAUUAUAAACAAACUACUAUCACUAUUAGUUAACUAGCCAGUUCAAUACAUUUAUAUUAACACUUUAUAACGUGAGCGAGGUAACAGCGUGUCCUUGGGCUUUUUGAAAAUAGAUAUGAUGCGUUAGGAUAAAAUUAUAUUUGAGGACCAACACAAGUUUUACGAGGGUGUCAAUCGAAUGGCAAAGACGAGAUAGGGACUGAUAUUUUGAUGGCGGAAUCCCAAUCUCCCUCAUUAUUAGUUAGGCCUGCGCAUGACGUCACGUGGGAAUUCACGUUGAAUCGCUGUCCAUUACGGUGGAAACCACAUUAAAUAUAAAUUUAAUUAUAUAAUAUAGUGCUAACAGUAACAACUCUGCACACACAAUAAGUUAUUAGGUUAACCUAUAUUACCAACUUAUAAAACGUUUGUAAAAAGCUUGGCUUUUAUUUUGAUAGGCCAUAUUUACUAUUACUUCCGGGUCACGUGGCCAACCUGUCUGUAUUUCAAUGUAGAUCUUCAAACGAAAAAAUGGAAAAAGGAAUUUCAAAAAACCAAAAUC